rnacentral:sRNA from 1 species
AAGUAAAUAGUCGUCAACUAUCGAGAACC